AGUGAACGCUGGCGGCGUGCUUAACACAUGCAAGUCGAACGCGAAAGGGUAGCAAUACCUGAGUAGAGUGGCGAACGGGUGAGUAAUGUGUGGGUAAUUUGCCUUUUAGAGGGGGAUAACCCGGCGAAAGCUGAGCUAAUACCCCAUAAUGUCAUAGAGUCUUCGGACUUAUGAUCAAAGGAUGGCCUCUAUUUAUAAGCUAUCGCUAAAAGAUGAGCCACAUCCUAUCACGCUUGUUGGU
rnacentral:rRNA from 1 species